UCCUGGUGGUGGCACGAUCAGAGACUCUCACUCUUUCCCCUUCUCGGUCUAUAUAAGAAUUUAGGCAUAAGCCCAAAGCCAUCUCAAAUCAAAGGCAAACUUUGGAAGACAAGGAAAUCAUGGCAAUCAACAAGAUUGGUGCAAUGGCUAUUCUUUUUUGUGGGAUGAUCCUUCUGGGAGCAAAUGUGGAGGUCACGGCCGUCAGGCCCGGGCCGGAGCAGAUUUGCCCACUCUAUUGCAUAGUUGGGAUCGAGUACGUGGACUGUGAUGGAGAGAAGACCUACACAGACUGCACCAAUUGCUGCUUCGAGAACGGCUGCACUCUUCACUUUAAAGAUGGAACUUCAUACUUUUGUACUUGGCCGGCUAAGCAAGAAUUGGGGUUUGGUAAAGGAGUUUACAAGAUAUAGUACUCUAAACGAGUACUAAAUGACGGGUAUAAUAUUAAUAUACGCCCUUUUUAGUAUGUAUUUCGGUUUCCUCGAGGGUGGGAUAUAACCAUGCCAAGUAAUAUAUCAGUACCGACAGUACGUGCUUCAUGAGAUAGUGAAUCAUGAUGUUCAAUAAAAUGAGUACUUUUCUUAACAGAA